rnacentral:rRNA from 1 species
ACAUGAGGAAAGCUUGCUUUCCUUGAUGACGACUGGCGCACGGGUGAGUAACGCGUAUCCAACCUUCCCAUAACUACGGGAUAACCCGUUGAAGGACGGCCUAAUACCGUAUGAUAUCGUUUGCUGACAUCAAAUAACGAUUAAAGGUUUAGCGGUUAUGGAUGGGGAUGCGUCUGAUUAGCUUGUUGGCGGGGUAACGGCCCACCAAGGCGACGAUCAGUAGGGGUUCUGAGAGGAAGGUCCCCCACAUUGGAACUGAGACACGGUCCAAACUCCUACGGGAGGCAGCAGUGAGGAAUAUUGGUCAAUGGGCGAGAGCCUGAACCAGCCAAGUAGCGUGCAGGAUGACGGCCCUAUGGGUUGUAAACUGCUUUUAUGUGGGGAUAAAGUGCGUGACGUGUCAUGCAUUGCAGG